rnacentral:lncRNA from 1 species
GGCCAACACCAUCCUUAAGGGUGGGACAGGUGGCCCAGGACUGACCAGUCAGAACGGUGCAUCCUUGCGACCGAUGAGAGCCAGGGUUGGGAUUUUUCCUUGGACCCAGGAGGAAGGAGGCUCCCUCUUUCCCUGAGGGUUGCUAAGUUGGUGGGGGUGGGUGCCUGGGUGUGGGGUUCAUCUUGCCUUGAUGAGAGAGAAGCCAGCAAAGAUGGAGUGAAAACCAGUCGUGGUACUGAGAUUCGUAUACCUAGAUGCGGCCAUGCCUGGUGUGUAACUGGUCCCUGCUGUGCAGCUCCAGCUUCCUGCAGAGCUGGGCGAUGUUGCCAAUGCACGGAGGACGAAGCUGCCCGGAACCGCAGGCCGCGCCGGGGCCUUGGGAACGGAGGGGCCUCACUGGAUCUCGGUUUCCCGCGCCUCUCCGGAGCAGUCCCUGAGCCAGAGUACCCAGGGUCACCGGGACCGUCGGGCCUCGGACUCCCGCUGACCUCGGCCAAGCGCAGGCAGGAGUUUGCGCGCCCCCUCCCGCCUCAGGCCGGCUGGGGACCAGCGGGCGGCUGCAUCCGUCUGCAGCGCGCGCGCGCCCUCUGCUGGGAAAUGCAGGACUCGUUCUGCUCGUCCCGAAAACCGGGCAGGGACAGUGCAGCUAAUCCGGGGACCAGAAAGGAAGGGCUGGGCACCGACUGGCACAGAGGGUGUGGAACCUUCCCGGGGCCACACAGCUGGUGGGCAGAAGACCCUGACCUGGAGCCACCCUGGGAGCCGUGAGGAGCAGAUGAUGAGAAGCUCGCCCCUCACACACUGCGUUUUUAUUGAGCACCCUCUACCUGCCGGACUGCGAGAUCGCAGGGACUCAGCAGCGAACACAACAGGGCCGGGCCCUGCCUUCUUGCAACUGAUGUUCCAGUGGGGUGGGGAGAGCCCAGUGUCUGUAAACUCCGUUUUCAGCUGGACAGAGGCCUCUGGAAAAGCCCCACCGAGUCCCCGUCGCAACCACGCGUCCACCUCUACGUGAUUUUUGGCCACGUCCCCGUGGCGUUUGCUUCUAGAUCCCUGGCUCUGGCUUGGAUGUCUCAGGAAAGGAGCUUCCGGUCCCAGCUUCUGUCCCCAGCACCUGUGGUGAGCAUCCUGAGGUCACUCCUGCCUUAGUCGCUGCCCUUGGCGUGGUAUCUCUGCCCCCCUGGCACCCCUUGAAUCUCCGCGGGGAGCCCCAGCCGGGCUAGCAGUGCAGGUGCCCUUCGUGGCUGAGGGCGGGCGGCUCGGCUUCUCCCUGCCUGUUCACACCCCAGGGAGUCCAUCUCACCCCCAGGACAACGCUGGGUCCUCCGUGCUUGGCCAGCAGCAGGCUUGGGGGGCCCGGCCAGGCCUGGUCCUGAGUGCUGCCAGGGGGCGAACUGCACCUCCACACACCCAGCACCCAGUGAGCAUGGCUAGAGGGCUCCUCCCUGUGCCCCUGGCCUGCCGGGAGAGGGAGGCCAGGCUCGGACCGGGCAUGGGCACCGCUUCCAGCCCCAGGUUCUUGGCAUAGAAGGAGCAGAACAGGCCACCCAGUGCAGUGAGGGAAAGGGACCUCGCAGCACACCAGGCUUGCUGUCAACCGGACUGGCACAGGUGACUGGCACAGAGCAGGGCCGGGUGGUGACCGAGAUACAGGCUGGGAGGAGCGCGGGCUGAGCCACCAUCUCUGCCCUGCUCCCCACUGGGCCACGCCCCUCUCCGUGAUGGUCUGAGACAAGGUCUUGCUAAAUUUCCCAGGCUGACUUUGAACUUGAACUCUCCACCCUCCGGCGUCAGGCCUUACCUUACAGGUGUGCCUGGCGGAGAACUGGGCUUUGAAGGUAAGAGGCUCCUAUCACUUCCUCCUCACGCACUGGCAAGGGACUGUGGUCAGGAGGGACACGUGUGCCCAGCACCUGGCCUGAGGUGUCGGGAGGCCACCCUGCCAGCUGUCUCAUUUUUGACACCUCUUCAUCCAUGAGGCUCAACUGACACAGGCCCCUUUCCAGCCUUUUUUUGCAAAAAAAAAAGUAUGCUUUUUGCACCAAGCUACAUCCCUAGAUUUCCUGCUCCCCACCUUUUAUUUUUUAUUUAUUUUAUUUAUUUAUUUAAUUUUUUGGUACCGGAGAUUGAACUCGGGUCCUUGCUCUUGCAAGGUAGGCCACCGAACCGCUGAGCUAAAUCCCCGGCCCCCCAGGUUUUUUUUUUUUUAAAUUUUAAGACAAUAUCUUGCUAAAUUGCUAGAUUGUAAAGACUGGGCUGGAACUCAAAACCCACCGCUUCAGCCUGUCAGUCUGGGGAUCACAGGCAUGUGCUGCCACACCCAGCUACUCCUCAGCCUCUUAAGGGUGGAACUGAAAAUGUCCCCACCUGAUCUGAAUUGCAUACACAGCACCCUACCAGGACCACAGGGCCACCUGGCACCAGCCCUGCCCCUCACACGCGCACCUAGUGGCAGAGUCAGAGGGUGGGCAUAUAAGUUAUGCCGACUGUCCGAGGCCAGAAAGAUGGGCCCCCCUGGGAGGGGUAUGACAGAAACGCCAUAUUCACCCCAUGGGCAGGCACAGGUGUCCCCGGGGACUGCAGGGGGUGCCCAGCCUAACCUGUGGUUGGCAACCUGAAAAUGACAAUUUUUAAUUUUAAUUUUUGCUGUGCCGGAGAUGGAGCCCAGGGCCUCACCAUACCAGGCUAUGCUCCUGCACCCUGGCCCUGAGUUUGUCAAAAUUUAAAUGUGGAUGUUCCGGGUGGAGCGGUUCCCAUAGGACUUUGCCCCACAGCCCCAGGUGCACUCAGGCAGAACACUGGGGACACCCUCAGGCCGUCAGGAGAGACCUGACCUCCAGGGGAGGCAGGCAGGGUCUUGCUCUCCAGCAGGGCCAAACCACCAGAGGACAGAGCCCAGGAAGAAGGUCCAGGAGGAGGAGCAAAGCAGAGACCACGUCUCACUGGAAGGAGGGGCCAGGCUCACAGGAAUGCACACUCUGGGACUUCUCCAGUACAGGCAACUAAACCCAGGGCCCUCACCCUAAGCUACAUCCCCAGGCUUUUUUUUGUUUUGUUUUUUGUUGUGUUUUGGAUACAGGGUCUCACUAUGUAGUUCAGGUUGGCCUUGAACUGGUGGCAAUCCUCCUGCCUCAGCCUCCCGAAUAUUGGGAUUACAGGUGUGUGCCACCACGCCCAGCACCAGCCCUUUAUUAUUUAUCAAUUUAUUUAUUUACUUUGAGACAAUAUCUUGCCUUAGUGACCCAGGCUGGGCUUGAAUUUCUGAUCUUGCCUCAGCCUCCUAAAGUACUGGUAUUCACAUACACCCGGCUACAGUCUCUUUAGUAAGUGAACCAAUGCAGGGGUUCCGGCUCACACUUGUCCCUCAGUGUAAAGAAAGGGCAGACUCACCGGGGUUUGGGUGUGGUUAUGUCCCCCCACCCCACGUGGCUGUGGCUCCCUCCUCCAAGUGACAAAUCUGCCUUCCAAAAACAGAUGCCCUUUCCCUUCCUAACCCAGGAACUCGGCAGUUUCUUACCAUGAAUCACUGGAGUUUUCCAUGGUGACCACACCUGACGGUCUGCAGGACCAGUGCCUGCUGGAGGUCAGAGGACACCAUCAGCGCCCUUGGGAGAACAGGGCAGCUGCUGCCUGCCGUGCAUGCGCAGAGGCCUCAGUGCUUGCAAGCUGGCCGUGGCCGUAGGUGCCCUCGCUGCCUUAUCCGAAACCCUGCCACCACAGUGACUCCACAGGUGGGUACAGUCCAGGGUCCUCAGUGACAGGUGACGGCAGCCUGAGCCCCUCCCCUCAGGCCGCUCCCCAGGUGACUGACCAGACUGAACUGCCCAGCCCACCCGCUUCUUUUCUCUGGCCACCGCAUUGUGGUGGGAAGCUUUCAGCAGCUGACUCUCAACUUCCUGCUCUGAGGAAAGGCAGAGCCCUGAGGCCCAGCCCUCAACUUCCUCUGUGGCUCCCUGCUAGGGCUGGGACAGGGACACAAGACAGACAGAACCCCUGCUUCCCCUGAGGGGAAGGACAAGAGGCCACAAAGGGACCUGCUGGAGAUCUCGGCAGGAGAGCAGCAGGUCAGGUCACAGCAAGUCACCAGAGCGGCCAGGCAGUGUGAUCUCCACCCAGAGGGACCUGGCCCAGCCCCGAGACCAGGAAGCUGUCAGAAGCGACACCCGAGCUGCAUUCCUGGUGCCAACCUGAGGGGGCACUUUCAGAAGCGGUGGCUUUGCCAUCUCAGGGCACUGUGAAGCCCUCCCUACCCCUGAAUCCCUACACAGGGAGACAGUGCAGGAGUCCACCUGUUGACAGGAACAGUGACUAGGAGCAUGGUAAGCAAAACGUUAUCCCUAUGAAAAGAACUCUCACGCCAGGCACAGUGGCCAUGCUUGUAACCCCAGCUCUCUGGGAGGUAGAGGCAGGACCCCAAGUCCCAGCCAGCCGGAGCGGCUUCUGGAGACCACCUCAGAAUAAAAAAGGCACUGCUUCCAGUUCCCAAUACGGGACACAGAGGCAAGGAGUAGGGCACUGCGUGGCAUGACGAAAAUAUCCUACUCCAUUUGGUGGAUGGAAAUUCGCUUGUCAUUACGGAAGCACGUAAGAGCCCCAAUUCUGCCUAUUCUAAAAAUCCUAAGUAUUCUUCCACAAAGGGCUGAACCCCAAAGCAUGUGAAAUAUUACACUGCCCCUAAUUAGUAUGCCGAGAUGAAGAAGGGCACAGCCUACUAAAUAUUAACGCACGCUUUAUUAUAUUAAAAUCAGGCAAUGGUCUGACAAAAAAAAGGCUGCUUACGGAAGGAAUACUGUUAAGUGAAAUUUUACUUAAGAGGAUGUUAAAUCCCUAGAACUAAGGUUUCCCCCAGAAAUAGAUGAAUGGAAACAUCAUUGCUUUUCAGACUUGAUAGUUACUGCUUCAAAGGGUGGUUUUACACAAAUAGUUAAAAAAAAAAAAAACCCUCGGGCACACCAUGAAUCGCCUUUAUUUCCAUAUGCAUCCACGUUUCAGCAUUUAGUGGUCCUGAACAGGGUGGGAAAGCGCAGCAGGUGCCAGGAGGCCAGGCCCACGAGGCCCACCCGGCCCGGGUCCACUGCACCGAGCCGCUCUUAGUCCCCGACGAGCAUCUGAGUAGCAGCAGCACCGAAGCUGAAGUCCGCGCCGGGCCAGGUCCCUUGUUGUGGUUGUCAGAUCCCGAACUAGACCCACGGAGGCGAGGGUGACCGCACGGCAGCCCGUGUAAACCUUCGUCAGCGUCUUGAAACGGAGUGGGACGAGCAAAGGGAACCCUCCAGAGGGACUGUGUGCUUAGAGUCCUCGGGCGGCCUCGCUCCGGGCCUGCCCAGCAGGGAAGGCGCUGGCACAGAUGGCAGAGCCCAGGACCUGGUACUCCUUUGCCAGCUGGUGAGAACGAAUGAAUGUAGUUCCGAAACUCCAGGAGGGCGGUCAGACUCUUUCCAACCUUACCUGAUGGCUUCUGGCCAAAGGAAGGAGGGCUGGGGACAGUGACGAGGGAGAGGAGGAGGAGGAGGAGGAG